rnacentral:rRNA from 1 species
ACUCCUACGGGAGGCAGCAGUGGGAAUAUUGCACAAUGGGGGAAAGCCCUCGAUGCAGCCAUGCCGCGUGUGUGAAGAAGGCCUUCGGGUUGUAAAGCACUUUCAGCGAGGAGGAAAGGGUGUGUGCUAAUACCAUACAUCUGUGACGUUACCCACAGAAGAAGCACCGGCUAACUCCGUGCCAGCAGCCGCGGUAAUACGGAGGGUGCAAGCGUUAAUCGGAAUUACUGGGCGUAAAGCGUGCGCAGGCGGUCUGUUAAGCGAGAUGUGAAAG